AACCACCAGUUCAUCCACAUCCACCCCAUGUCCCAAAACCUCAUCCAAAGCCUCCAGUGCAUCCCCAUCCACCUUAUGUCCCAAAACCACCAGUUGUGCCAGUUACACCACCAUAUGUUCCAAAACCACCAAUUGUGAACCCUCCCUAUGUCCCAAAACCGCCUGUUGUGCCAGUUACACCACCUUAUAUCCCUAAACCACCAGUUGUGACACCACCAUAUGUCCCUAAACCACCAGUGGUGCCAGUUACACCACCAUAUGUCCCUAAACCACCAGUGGUGCCAGUUACACCACCUUAUGUGCCAAAACCACCCAUUGUGAAACCACCAAUUGUUUAUCCACCAGUUGUGCCAAAACCACCAAUUGUUACACCACCUUAUGUGCCAAAACCACCCAUUGUGAAACCACCAAUUGUUUAUCCACCAGUUGUGCCAAAACCACCAAUUGUUACACCACCUUAUGUGCCAAAACCACCCAUUGUGAAACCACCAAUUGUUUAUCCACCAGUUGUGCCAACACCACCUAUUGUGUAUCCACCUGUUGUACCAACUCCACCGGUGGUUACUCCACCCGUGGUUACACCACCAAGUC
rnacentral:lncRNA from 1 species